rnacentral:rRNA from 1 species
AGUGAACGCUGGCGGUAGGCCUAACACAUGCAAGUCGAACGACAGCCCAGUAAGAGCUUGCUCUUACGGGUGGCGAGUGGCGGACGGGUGUGGCAUACAUCGGCAUCUAAUUUUUCGUGGGGGAUGACGUAGGGAAACUUACGCUAAUACCGCAUACGACCUACGGGUGAAAGCAGGGGAUCUUCGGACGUUGCGCGAUAUAAUGAUGCGAUGUCGGUUUAGCUAGUUGGCGGGGUAAAGGCCUACCAAGGCGACGUUCCGUAGCUGGUCUGAGAGGAUGGUCAGACACACUGGAACUGAGACACGGUCCAGAGUCCUACGGGAGGCAGCAGUGGGGAAUAUUGGACAAGGGGCGCAAGCCUGAUCCAGCCAUACCGCGUGGGUGAAGAAGGCGUUCGGGUUGUAAAGCCCUUUUGUUGGGAAAGAAAAGCAGCAGGUUAAUACCCCGCUGUUCUGACGGUACCCAAAGAAUAAGCACCGGCUAACUUCGUG